GAUGAACGCUAGCUACAGGCUUAACACAUGCAAGUCGAGGGGAAACGAUAGAGAAAGCUUGCUUUUUCUAGGCGUCGACCGGCGCACGGGUGAGUAACGCGUAUCCAACCUGCCCAUCACUUGGGGAUAACCUUGCGAAAGUAAGACUAAUACCCAAUGAUAUCUCUAGAAGACAUCUGAAAGAGAUUAAAGAUUUAUCGGUGAUGGAUGGGGAUGCGUCUGAUUAGCUUGUUGGUGGGGUAACGGCCCACCAAGGCGACGAUCAGUAGGGGUUCUGAGAGGAAGGUCCCCCACAUUGGAACUGAGACACGGUCCAAACUCCUACGGGAGGCAGCAGUGAGGAAUAUUGGUCAAUGGACGAGAGUCUGAACCAGCCAAGUAGCGUGCAGGAUGACGGCCCUAUGGGUUGUAAACUGCUUUUAUAAGGGAAUAAAGUGAGUCUCGUGAGACUUUUUGCAUGUACCUUAUGAAUAAGGACCGGCUAAUUCCGUGCCAGCCGCCGCAGUAAUAC
rnacentral:rRNA from 1 species